CCUACGGGAGGCAGCAGUAGGGAAUAUUGCUCAAUGGGGGAAACCCUGAAGCAGCAACGCCGCGUGGAGGAUGAAGGCUUUAGGAGUGUAAACUUCUUUUUUUAGAGAAGAUAAUGACGGUACUCAACUAUUAAGCACCGUCUAAUACGGUGCCAGCAGCCGCGGUAAUACGCAGGGUGCAAGGGUUAUACGGAAUAAUUGGGCGUAAAGAGUGCGUAGGAGGGGUAAGAAGUCAGAGGUGAAAGCCUGAGGCUUAACUACAGAACUGCAUUUGAAACUGUUAGUCUGGAGUGUGGGAGAGGUAGGUGGAAUGCAUGGUGUAGCGGUAAAAUGCGUAGAGAUCAAGAGGAAUACUGAUUGCGAAGGCGGCCUACUGGACCAUUACUGACGCUGAGGCACGAAAGCGUGGGGAGCAAACAGGAUUAGAUACCCGAGUAGUC
rnacentral:rRNA from 1 species